CAUAAAUAUAUGCAUUAUGCACGCACACACACACACACACAUAUUCAGUUUUUGGAAAAAAAUGGUAUUUGUUAUGUUAUUCCCAUUUGAACAUAUGCGUGUAAAUACCGGCUAAAAUUCACAAAACUUCAACAACACACACACACACAAACACACACACACACACACAUAUAUACAAAGUUUUCCUUUUCAGUAUAUGUGUCUGUCUGUCUGUAUGUGUUUGUAUUUAUAUACACAGACCUGAGGGAUGAACAACAAAGUUGGUCCCUCUGAGAUUUGAAAUCAGAAUGGUAAAGUGGCGCCAAACUAAAUAAGUCAAGCUAGCAACUAAAUGAAAAACUACAAACUCUUUCAACAGAUGCUCAAGUUUCCAACCAUUUCAAGGCAAGGAGCACUAAGCGUUUCAUAUACUGCAUCCAGCCAUAAAAUUCACACAAAAACUGACAUUGGAGGAUGACGCAGUUCUCUAACCCAUUGGAUCCUGUUGAAUCAAUGAAUCCAUUCCGGCAUGGAAGAAAUACGUUAAAAGAUGAUGAUGGCAACAACAAUGACAAUGAUGAUGAUGAUGAUGAUGAUGAACUAGCAGCCAUAACCAAGCAAUUGACAACCCCCUCACCACUGAAGUAUCCUCUUUUCAUUAUAAAUUACUCGUCAGUUAAUUUGAACUGCAUUUAAAUAAAAUAUUACAAAAUUGUC